GGAUGUGAUCAUACCAGCACUAAAGCAUCGGAUCCCAUCAGAACUCCGAAGUUAAGCGUGCUUGGGCGAGAGUAGUACUAGGAUGGGUGACCUCCUGGGAAGUCCUCGCGUUGCAUUCC
rnacentral:rRNA from 1 species